GUGGAGUCGUCGUUGAAAUACCAGUCUGGUCGUGCUGGAUGUCUAACCUGGGUCCGUGAUCCGGAUCAGGGACAGUGUCUGAUGGGUAGUUUAACUGGGGCGGUUGCCUCCUAAAGAGUAACGGAGGCGCCCAAAGGUUCCCUCAGCCUGGUUGGUAAUCAGGUGUUGAGUGUAAGUGCACAAGGGAGCUUGACUGUGAGACCGACGGGUCGAGCAGGGACGAAAGUCGGGACUAGUGAUCCGGCGGUGGCUUGUGGAAGCGCCGUCGCUCAACGGAUAAAAGGUACCCCGGGGAUAACAGGCUGAUCUUCCCCAAGAGUCCAUAUCGACGGGAUGGUUUGGCACCUCGAUGUCGGCUCGUCGCAUCCUGGGGCUGGAGUCGGUCCCAAGGGUUGGGCUGUUCGCCCAUUAAAGCGGUACGCGAGCUGGGUUUAGAACGUCGUGAGACAGUUCGGUCCCUAUCCGCUGCGCGCGCAGGAACAUUGAGAAGGGCUGUCCCUAGUACGAGAGGACCGGGACGGACGAACCUCUGGUGUGCCAGUUGUUCUGCCAAGGGCAUGGCUGGUUGGCUACGUUCGGGAGGGAUAACCGCUGAAAGCAUCUAAGCGGGAAGCCUGCUUCGAGAUGAGUGUUCCCACCUCCUUGAGAGGGUAAGGCUCCCAGUAGACGACUGGGUUGAUAGGCCAGAUCUGGAAGCACCGCAAGGUGUGGAGGUGACUGGUACUAAUAGGCCGAGGGCUUGUCCUC
rnacentral:ncRNA from 1 species